rnacentral:rRNA from 1 species
AACGAACGCUGGCGGCGCGCUUAACACAUGCAAGUCGAACGAGAAGCUGUAGCAAUACAGUUGUAAAGUGGCAAACGGGUGAGUAAUGCGUGGGUAAUCUACCCUAGGGUGGGGAAUAACUCCUCGAAAGGGGAGCUAAUGCCGACAUGUGCGCCACUCUCGCAAGGGAGUGAUGGAAAGCCGUACCGUGGGUGCGGCGCCCAAGGAUGAGCUCACGUCCUAUCAGCUUGUUGGCGGGGUAACGGCCCACCAAGGCUGCGACGAGG